rnacentral:rRNA from 1 species
GCUCUAUAUGCCUUUAAGACAUAAGUCUGCAAGGGAAAUAUUUAUAGCUUUGGGAUGAGACUGUACGGUAUCAGCUAGUUGGUGAGGUAAUGGCUCACCAAGGCUAUGACAUCUAACUGGUUUGAGAGGAUGAUCAGUCACACUGGAACUGAGACACGGUCCAGACUCCUACGGGAGGCAGCACUGGGGAAUAUUGCACAAUGGAGGAAACUCUGAUGCAGCAACGCCGCGUGGAGGAUGACACAUUUCGGUGCGUAAACUCCUUUUAUUAGGGAAGAUAAUGACGGUACCUAAUGAAUAAGCACCGGCUAACUCCGUGCCAGCAGCCGCGGUAAUACGGGGGGUGCAAGCGUUACUCGGAAUCACUGGGCGUAAAGAGAAUGUAGGCUGGUUAUUAAGUUGGAA